UAACACGUAGGAGACAAGCGUUAUUCGGAUUUACUGGGCGUAAAGCGCGUGCAGGCGGUCUGACAAGUUGGAUGUGAAAGCUCCUGGCUUAACUGGGAGAGGUCGUUCAAAACUAUCAGACUAGAGAGUGGUAGAGGAAGGCGGAAUUCCGGGUGUAGUGGUGAAAUGCGUAGAUAUCCGGAGGAACACCAGUGGCGAAAGCGGCCUUCUGGACCAAUUCUGACGCUCAGACGCGAAAGCUAGGGUAGCGAACGGG
rnacentral:rRNA from 1 species